AUACGUAGGUGACAAGCGUUAUCCGGAUUUACUGGGCGUAAAGGGCGUGUAGGCGGUCUUGCAAGUCAGAAGUGAAAUUCCUGAGCUCAACUCGGGCGCUGCUUCUGAAACUGCAGGACUUGAGUGCUGGAGGGGAUAGCGGAAUUCCUAGUGGAGCGGUAAAAUGCGCAGAUAUUAGGAGGAACACCGGUGGCGAAGGCGGCUAUCUGGACAGUAACUGACGCUGAGGCGCGAAAGCGUGGGGAGCAAACAGGAUUAGAUACCCUGGUGGUCCACGCCGUAAACGAUGAAUACUAGGUGUAGGGGGUAUCGACUCCCUCUGUGCCGCAGUUAACACAAUAAGUAUUCCGCCUGGGGAGUACGGCCGCAAGGUUGAAACUCAAAUGAAUUGGCGGGG
rnacentral:rRNA from 1 species